CCUGGUCUCUCGGUCCAGAGGAGCUCUGUGGCUGGAUUCUGACCACGGACUUCUUCGUCCCUACUUGCAGAGAAGGGUUAUGCUGACACGGAAGGAGGGACUUGGAGAGAGGGAAGAUUAACCUUUCGCUGGCCACGAUUCGUUCCCUCUUAUCGCGGAGGAUUCGGCAACCCACCCCCCUCCCACCCAGCCUAUCUGUCUGAAUUGCUGAAAGCAUAAUGCUCCCAUAUGAGAGAUAAUGUUGCUGUGAAAGACAGGAGGAUCUGUCUGCGUGUUCGAGGUGCUGCCUGAUGUCAUCCUUCAGGGUGGUGCCCGCAUGGAAACCAAGCAAAACUCUCUGGAGCUUUCCCAAAAAAGUUUCUUCCAAGCAUUAAGACCGUGAUGUCAGUCAGCUUCAGAGAAACAGCAUCAGAUCACCUGAGAAUCAGCAUGCAAGCCUCAGGUUUGAAAGGCACCAGGACACCUGCAAGAGGAGCCCCAGUUCUGCCUCCUCCAUGAUGAGGCUCAUACAGAGGUGCAGCCCCUCAGAUGGUGACAGGGGGACAGCAACCAGUGCCCUCCCAGCACAGUCAGUGUGUUUGACAAUGGUCACGAAGCAGGGAUGGGAAGUGCUGCCUAGACUGCCCCCAGCAGAAAGCCCCGUGGUGUCCCUUCCCCGCUGGUGCAGAGGCUCCGGGCUGCCACCGCAGAUCAUUUGACAAAUUUCACGGGCUUUUGAUACAAGCACAAAGGUUCACAACCUGCUCUUGUCUAGUUGGUGAGACCGUCCAGUCCCUCUUGUGCCAUUUGUGGUGGCAUUACAGACUUUCAGAACAAUCUGAAGGACAACCCCCAAGCUGUUUGGAUGGUGCUCAGCCCAAAAUACGUGAGAAGAGCUAUUCCGACGUGAGUGUCUUCUCUGCACUGCAAUGCAGGGAUGGAGCUAAGGAUGAGCAAUGGGAGCACUGUCAGGAUUACAGCCAGGGGUGUCCCAAGAAUACGGGGACUGGGAGCUGUUCUUUGGAAGAGGAGUUUGUCCAUUAACCAAAUCAACUGGAGUGGAAAUAAAAAGGAGCAGCCCUGCUGGUUGGAUGGGCAGAUGACGGCACCGACAGAGGCUUCCCAGUGUGACACCCCAAGGCUGCCCCUUCCUUGGGCCAAUAUCCUCAUCCAGCAGCUGUUUUCUCAGGCUACAAUAUGUGAGGAAAGCUGAUGCUGCUGUGCUGCUUAACUGGCAAGAAUCUGAAAAGAGGAAGCAAUUCGCAAGUCUGAAUUCCUGUUCAGAAAGAAGUGGCAAAGAACAACCGUUCUUUACCUGAAGGAAAACCACUUGUCUGGCAGAGGCAGAGCUCUUCAAAAGUUACCAUAGUGAAGGUUCCUGUUUACAACGGUGAAGAGUAACUCAGGUAAGCUCCUAAAGGACCCAUGAACAUUUAGCAGAAUGAGAAGAAUGAGCAUCAGGUAAUGGGAUACAAGUGGAAAACCCUCUGUGAUGCCCACGGAUAUCAGUACAAACCCCCUCUUUCAAUGCCAAGGUCAUGGGACUGACUGCAGGACUCAUUUUUGCUCAGUGUUGGGUCACUGCAUACGACAACAGUUAAGAAGAAAUUUGGUUGAUGUCUCAUUUUGAGGGGCUCUAGUCCUGCCAGUCUCCUGACUCCAGACUUGCAGAAAGCAGUAGAUUGAAAGGUGGCUUCUGAAAGAGGGGCAUCUCUGCCUAAAAUCAAUUGUAACUAAAAACCUGAAAAUUGAUGGAUUUACACCAAGGCUGAAAGUAGUUUAUGGCAGGAGACCUCAGAAAUCUCCAGUAUGGAUUACUGCUUUUAUAGGUCUGGUCUGGUCUUCUCCUUUUCCUUCACCUCCUCCUUCUCCUCGCUUUUAAACUUGGGAGCUCAAAACAAUCUCUAGCUAUUUUCAGUCAGGAUCAGGCUGACUGGGAAGCGGGAGGUUUUCGCAACUGGACUUCAACAUGUUGGAGAAAUAACUGAGGAAAAGUUUUCCUGCUACCACUCACCAAAGAAAUGUAAAGGGAGCAGUGGUCACCUUCCUCUUCCAGAGUUAACAAUACCUUGGGAAGACUCUGGCAGUUGUUGCUGUCAGAGCAGGGGCUUUAGGACAGGUACGGAUUCAGGAAGAGAGCACUGAGGCUUCACAGGUCGUGGUUUGCAGUUCAGCAUCACACUUUCACUCACUGUAUCAAUUCUGAAGUUUAUCUCCCACUAAAAGUGUUCCUUGGUGCCUCAUUCCUUGCACACCGACCUUCCCAGGCAGUGCAGCCUGCAUGGAUUUAAUGCCUGCUCUAUGAUCCAGCUCCAUGGACAAAUGCAAACACAUGUGGCAAACGCUGACACUUUUCCCCACCAUAAGAAGUCAAGAAAUAAGGAAUUACUGUUAUCUCCAUUUCCUAAAUGGGGACUGGAAGCCACAGCUCAGCCAACACUUCUGGCUGUCAAUGACAGAAGCAGCCCAGUCCCUUCGGUCCCUGUGGGGUCCCUUUUCUCACGCUGGGAUAAGCAUUUGUGCAUCUGUAUUUUGGAACUGAUUGAGGAACUUAUCCAUCUGAAAACUAAUCCAGGGAGGGAAAAAAAAAAAAGAGUUUUUAUUUCAGCCACAUCAACUUCCUGAUUUUGGUUUGAAUGCAGCCCAGCAGGACGGGACUGAGCAGCUACGACGGUGGGAGUGGAAUGCAGGGAUUUUGGAUGGAAUUACAUGAAAUCACAGAAGAAAUAUGACAUCAGAAAGACAAUGUAGGUCUCCAGAAUGCACAGAUGCCUUUCUCUGUUGUAAAUGCCAUCCCUUCACAACCUAGCAGAGGUUUGCUGGCUGUCUACCACUGCUCUGAGCCACCCAAGGUUUAUCCUGUGUAGACAACAUAUCUCAGGAGUGUCGUGUUUGGUGGAAUUAAAUGACCCUCUGCCCAGUCAAAAGUUAAUUAUUUGGGGGUGGAGGUUGCAGGGGGAUUAUUUCAGCAGCCACACUAAUGAAGGUGAGAUCAGACAGGUUAAAAAUAAGCAUAGACACAAGGAAGACAUGGGAAGGGAAGGGAACAGCUUAACCUGUGCAGUGGGAUGAUGCCCUGCAUCGCUAUUAUGGCAAGAGUUUUGUUCAGGAGGAGAGACAGAACUACAGGGAUAUUUUGCAGGGUUAGCACGUCUUCCUCUGUCUGAUACACUCCCUCUUUCCCACUUUUCCCUCGAUGGCAGGUAAUAAAACGCCUGCUGGUACCCCCCAUGACUGGAGGUACCCGGAGUGGUUCAGCCCAUCAUGAGUGCUGUGCCAAUCAUUUAACAAUUCCCACAGCUGCCUUUGUGAGAAGCCUCUCUCUUAAGCCUCUGGUUUAAGAAUUUAGAGUAAUCAUGUAAAAAUGAUACCCCUGUGCUCUAUGAUCCGCUGAAUCUCACUAAUGCCGGAUCCCAGAAGAGGGCUUAUUAAUGAAAAGAUGCAAUGCCUCUCUCUCUGCUCAUGUUUCACAUGAAUAUCUCUCAUGGAUUCGGCAGUAAACCGUACUGCUGAUAAAGUGGGUAUAAUGAACCUCCGUGCUCCACGAGAAGGAAACCUCGGACUGAUGGAAUAGUUACCUGCUCCACUUCCCAGCACAAUGGCAGGCUCGGCAGGGACAAGGAGAAGCACUCGGCUGCCACGGGAAUAGCGGUGCAGGCUCCCAAAUCCUGGGCCUGCUUUGCAAGCGAUGCCUUCGGCUGUGUGAAAAGAUCAAGAGUUUGGAAGGGAGCGGUUCGUAAUUAGCUGAGAGAAAUGAAAUUAUGCUUUGUUGUAAAUCACCGAGUCAACAGACGGAAGGAGGUUUUUAAAGGGACAGCAGCACCUUGAGGCUACUCUGUGUCCUUUCAACAUCACAGAGUAGUCAAAAACCCGGCUGGCUCUCGCCAGUUGGCCAGAUUUUCAGCAAGGACGAGCACCAAGUGUUCUGCAAACAGCAGGAUCCUGCCACUUCCAGCCCCUGACAUCUAAUUUUCAAAUACUUUCAAGUACUGCCUCUGUCCUCAAGCUCCCCUGCUAACGGCAGCAGGUUUUGCCAUCAAGAAUUUCAAACUGUUAUAAAUCCUUCUGCUGUAGCAAAAACAAACAAACGAUGGAAAAUCUCCACACUAACAAGAAGAAAGGCAGAUUCCAUGUCUAUCCAUGGGAAAAGAAAGCAAGUGACUACCCAGAAAGCACUGUGAGGCAAAGAAAAGGAACAGGUAAAACGCUGUAGGCAGCAGUGCAGUCAGGCUCUAUAUUUCUCUGAGGCCCUCUGUGAUUUAUGAUUUCCAUUAAAAGAAACACAUGCCUUACAAAUUACCCCUAAUCUCAGCAUCAGUAGGAUGGCACAGGGCAAGCAACAAGAGCCUGGAAGGUGUCACUCUGGAGUAUCCCAAAACCACCACAGAGACCAGUUUUAGGUCCAACAACCAGACUGUAUCUGCUCGGUGUAUCUCUGAUACCUGGAUCACCUUUACAGAGCCAGCCCCACGUAGCCAAGUCCAAACCUUUGUGAGGUUCCAGUUUGAAUACGUAAAAUUACCACAGAGAUGACAGCACUGCAGGGUGACUAUAAUCCCAUCUCAAACACUGGUUGUUAUCCUCUGCAUGUCUGUUCACUGAUUUACCAAUCUGUGGAAAAGUUAGGACUGUCCCUCACUUCCAGGGGAUUCUCUGGUUAGAGGGAAUUCAAACACCCUGAAACUCUGUGAAACCUUAAACCUUCGUGUGAGCAGCUUGGGUAUAACUCCCCGUGUUAUUAAUACCUAAAUGCCCCAUAUGUUGUCUUUAGAGAGGAAGGCAGUCCCAUCACCUUUAUGUGUGUGCUUUCUUCCCUUGGCUUUUACAUUUCUUCCACACGCAGAAUGUACUUAACUCGCUGCUUAUUGAAUGAAGGAUUAGUAUUAUUUUCCUUCCUCCGGUGAACUUUGUUUCACUUCAUCCUGCAUAUAUUUUGCUAGGCUGUGUUUUCCUGCCAGCACACCACUGUUCAGCAAACCACCGUACUUAAGGCCAGCCAGCUAACACAGUGAUCCCUUUUUACUCACGAGGAGUGUUUCCAUAAUCAUGGCUGUGCUCGUGGGAUGAAUGACAGCUUACACCGAGGAGCACGGAACGCACUUCCAGAAGCUCUGCCGAGCUGGGACGCAACUAAAGCAGCUUCAAACUGCCAAGACACUUGAAACAUCCAGGGGAAGACACGGUUUGAAAUGGAGCCUGCUACUUAGCUCCUCUGCUGGCAUGAAUGUUGACCAGGGACUUCCCCAUCCUCCCUUUUCUGUGCUGCUCUAUCUCAUGUUGAGCCGGACUGGGAGCGCUUGGAAAAAUGCCCAGCUUUGGGUCCCGUAAAAAUUAGUAUAAAACAAACAGGUAACAAAUUUGCAGUGGCUCUGUAGGAGGUUUACAGUCUCUUUUCUUUUGUUGGGAAGAUUGGUUAUGUUGCCCAGUAGGAAAGCAAGUAGAAAAGAAGGGUUUCUUUACAACUCACUGUGCUCUUGGAAAAACGGAUGGGGAGUUCCUGUUCGCAUCAGUGCAGCAAUGCAGACCUCUCUGGUGGAAGUAUUUUCUUUUUCUGGUGGAAUUAUACCUCAAGUCCUGCUAGGUAGUCACUCUCUUUGUUCCUGUGAGCCAAGCUAGUUGCAAGAUCAUGCUAUGCCAUGCUUAUAACCUCGCACUAAAGAGGAGAUUACAAAGGGGGCAAAAUACCCUAGAGGGUUCCCCUUUAUCAGAACCUUCCCUGUCAGUUUGCCUUCUCAUUUCCUGAGCUCUUGUCUGAUUAUUAGUGUACUGACAGAAUAAAAAUAACCUCAUAUUCCUACAUGAAUCAUAAAUAAAACCCUUUUAUUUCAUCAAAGAGGUUGGCAGGUUUAUAGUCCUUUGCAAUGCAUGCACGAUGUGAAUGACAUACCUUUAAUUUUGCUGACAAGCUUGUCGGGGUCCUAAUGAAAAAGAGUGAAAAGUGGGUGACUUCUCUAAAGGUUUAGCAGUUGCUUUUUG